rnacentral:rRNA from 1 species
UACAGAGGGGGCAAGCGUUGUUCGGAAUUACUGGGCGGAAAGGGCGCGUAGGCGGCCUGCUAAGUCGAACGUGAAAUCCCCGGGCUCAACCCGGGAACUGCGUCCGAUACUGGCAGGCUUGAAUCCGGGAGAGGGAUGUGGAAUUCCAGGUGUAGCGGUGAAAUGCGUAGAUAUCUGGAGGAACACCGGUGGCGAAGGCGGCAUCCUGGACCGGCAUUGACGCUGAGGCGCGAAAGCCAGGGGAGCAAACGGG